rnacentral:lncRNA from 1 species
UUUACAUCCCAGCUCCUUUGUUCUAACAGGGGUGAUCUGAGCCGGAUAAUCCCUACCAGAUCCCCCAGUUUGAGUUUCUUUGUUAUGCAUGCUUUCCUUUGUUCUGUAACAUUUUGGCGAGAAUGUCAAAUCCACUAUAAAACUUAUAAUUAAAUAUACAAUUAUACGGAAAAGACUAUCUAUCAAAAUUCACGUAGAAAAAAUCCAGUGUAUAUGCUGGGAUUCGAACUCAAAACCUUUAGCAUAUCAAACCACGACACAACCACUAUACCAGGAUGACUGGAUACGAACUAUCAGUAAUUUAACAUACUUAAAGGAAGCAAGAUAUUUUUAUAAGUGGGGCGAGUUGGCAGACCUUUAUUCAGUGGGGUUUAAACCCUUUUCGUUAAUAAGUGAGUUGUCAGUGAUUGUUCAGUUUGAUUUUACACUUUUUUCAAAAGUGGGGCGAGUCGGUAAACAAGAGUGGGGCGAUUUUUUUCAUAAAGUGGCGAUAUAGGUUGGGCCGAUUGGCCAGUGGGGCGAGUUGACAUUGUUUGAUAUCUACUCAUCGUGUUCGGGGGUCAAAAAGGGUAUAAAUCAUAUAGUAAUGUCUAUUAUAUAUUAAGUAUAUUAUAAUGGUUG